rfam:Lingula anatina scaffold978, whole genome shotgun sequence.
ACAAAGGCCCUUUUCAGGGCCACUAUCACUUCCCAGAAAAGCUAA